AUUACAUUAUUCCAAACCAAUUCUGAAAAUUUGCGAAGGAAAAAAAAUAUCAAAAAUUAUGACCUACUUACGAAUCUGAAAAACAUGCAUGACCAGUAUAUGAAAAUUGUGGACCAGCAUAGGUCUGUGGCCCACUCUAGCGUAAAUACCUUGUAUUACAGUAAGGUAAAAGCUACGGUAGCGAAUCUAGCUAUACAGCAGCCUAGCCGAGGCGAUGAACGAAGUUUAUUAUUAGUCAAUAAUAACUGUGAUCACUUUAAAAUUUCGUAUUCGAUUUCGUUACAUAAGACAUACAUUUGAAAGAUAUAAAUCACACGUUUUUUAAUGCUAUAAACUUCAAUUAAAUUGACGUUUACUGGCAUUAGUUAAUAACUAUUUGUGUUAUUGGAUAAUGAAUAAAUCAUAAACAAUCAUGUAAAAUCCUAGCAGACUUUUUCUCGUGUUUGACGAUUUGACGCCCGAUUUGACGUGUUUUCGAUCUACAUCCAACACAAAUGAUAUGAUGAACACACUUAGGAAUUGGUGGCAUUGAGCUUUCAAGACAAAGUGGACAUUCUAGGACCUUGGUUUAAAUGGAUGUAGUACUUAAUCUUUUUUAAAUAUCGUAACGUGUAUCUAAAAACAUUUAAAGAAUAAUUCUUAAAUAAUAAAGGAACUGUCUAUUAUCGGAGUAUACAUUCCACUCCAAUUACUGCAUUUAAAAGUUUGAAGCCCACUUCUGACAGUGCUCCUUUCACAACUAUGACUUAUUUUUUUUCUCCUUCAUUAAUGUAUCUCCAAAUAAAUAAUUUUAAAUCAUAUCCUUCAUAAUGAUGGAUUAAAGCUACUAUUUGUUUUAUUGUUAAUCCUAUUAAAUCCUUUCCACCAAUACUAAUUAAAUAAUCACCAGCUCUAAAAUUUAACAGAUAAAAUAAAACAGAUUAUUUCUUUGUUUCUCUUAUUCUUACCCAAGUCCA
rnacentral:misc_RNA from 1 species